rnacentral:rRNA from 1 species
AUUGAACGCUGGCGGCAGGCCUAACACAUGCAAGUCGAACGAGCGGCGGACGGGUGAGUAAUGUCUGGGGAACUGCCCGAUGGAGGGGGAUAACUACUGGAAACGGUAGCUAAUACCGCAUACUAUCGGAUGUACCCAUAUGGGAUUAGCUAGUAGGUGGGGUAAUGGCUCACCUAGGCGACGAUCCCUAGCUGGUCUGAGAGGAUGACCAGCCACACUGGAACUGAGACACGGCCCAGACGCCUACGGGAGGCAGCAGUGGGGAAUAUUGCACAAUGGGCGCAAGCCUGAUGCAGCCAUGCCACGUGUAUGAAGAAGGCCUUCGGGUUGUAAAGUACUUUCAGCGGGGAGGCGUUACCGACAGAAGAAGCACCGGCUAACUACGUGCCAGCAGCCGCGGUAAUAC